rnacentral:lncRNA from 1 species
UAAGCGUCGAACACUGAAUAAUCACUGCCUGAGGAUUCUUGUCUAUAUUAAUUAUUACUUAAUAGUAUAUUUUAUGAUUGACUGCCAUUAGGCAUAAAUAACCUACGCAUCUACCUUUUUACAUGUCUAUGAUAAAUGAUUAGCAAGUAACAAAGUCUGAUGUUUAAUAGAUACCUACUGAAAUUAUUAUACUUUGCAAUAAUGAAUAUUUUUUUAUUCCAAAUAGAAAAGACUGAUAUCUACUGACGUUGAAAUACACUAGUACAUUGCACAUAAUAUAAGCUGUGGAAAAAUGUCUGCUGGUAAAAAAAUAAAUUACCAUGAUCUGUAAGUUUUUACUACCAUUAUAACUUAUCAACUUCUCUUUUGUUGAACAAAUUUAUUUAAAUUCAAAUAUUUAUCCAUUAUUAAAAUUAUAAUAUCUAUCGUAUAUAAUCAAGAUAAUUUAUUAUGAGUGUGUUGGAAAUUAAUAAACCUAUUAUUCAUUUUUUAUUAUACAAUCACCAAAUUUGUUAAUUUUGUUUCAUUAUUUUUUAUUUUAUUAUGAUACAGUGUUAAAGAUCAUGUCCGUUUACGUCUAUUGGAAUCCAGUUGGAAUAGUGAAGUGAGCAAUUUAAUUAGAAAUGCAAUUCGCAAACGAAUUGAAGAUGGUCAAGCUCCAAAAGCGAUUAAGUUUGAAGAAUUGUAUGAAGAUAUUUGCGACAAAGCUCGUGGUAAGAAUUAAUUAAGGAAUUAUUAAAAUUUUCCUACCAUAAGUAUAUAAUAUAGAUUUUAAACAAAUAAUAUAUAGUAUAGGUACCUUUAACUAUUCAUUUUUAGAUGCUAUAUCUAUUGAAAUGGAACAAGAAUGUCAUGCAAAAAUUAAAGAAUAUCUAUCACUAAAUCUUAAUGAAAUUUCUGGUUCAACUCCGGUUUCUUCAGAUGUCCUUCAUCCGAGCAAUUCGUCUAUUUCUAUGGAUGUUGCUACCAACAAAAUGGAUGACGUUAUUUAAUUGCUCAUAUUAUGAAUAUGUAAUUAAAAUUAAGAGUUUUUACUUUUAAGUAUUUGAUAUAAAUUCUGACAAUAUAAGUUUUAUAAAAUAAAUUUGUUCAAAUCCCGGGAUAAAUUUGAUCCUUUACAAGUUUACAGUUGACUAUUAAUAUUUAUUUGCUAUUUUUAUGUUUAUACAUAAACAUAAAACUACACUGCCUUAAAGGUAUAAUUUAUUAUACCUUUAAGGCAGUGCCUGUAUUGGAGAGCGUUGAGUGUCAAAGAUAAGCAUAAUGCAAAUUUUUGUGGUUCAUUUAAUAUCUAUAAUCUAUAUACAUACAAUAAUUCAUCAUGUCGUUCAUUAUAGUAGAUCGUCUUGUGUUUCCUUUAAUCAAGUUUUAUGCUAUUUCCGUUGUGCUGUAUUGAAAUGAACUUUCAAAAUAUUUUUGGGUGUAAAAUGUAUGUAUGUUUUUUCUUUAAAUAUUUAAAAUUAACUAAACCUGUCAUAUGUCAAUAUGAGUAUACGAGAGCAUUAUUAAUUAUCAUAUAAUUCUUAGAAUAAUGUCUAGAAUAUUUGCUCUGUUGUCGAGCUUACAUGAUAACUACCUAUAUUUACCUGUAUUAAUAAUAUAUAAAUUUAUUUAUACCUACUUAUAGAAAAUGAUCUACCACACCACUACUAUCUACUGUUUACAGCCGCCAAAUAUAUUUCAUGAGUGUUGAGUGUCAGGCAUGUUUUAUUUGUGACGUGACAAUACUCAUCAAUGUAUAUAUGGCCCAACAGUUAUACUUAGAAAUUGUAUUGAUAGAAGAAAUUAUUUUCAAAGGCAACACAUUCCCUUUUUUCUAAAAUAUUAAAAAAGUUACAGCUAUUUAAAAAAAAAAAAACAAAAACUAACAUGGCAUAACUCUUCAGUUUAAUAUUUUAGGGAAAAAUUAGAGAUUUACAAUAGCUCGUUAAUCCUUAUAAUUUGGUCAAGAAUAUAGUGUGAUGUGGCAGUUCUUGACCCAAAAGAAACCAUUCAUUUAUGAUACAUCUUCAAUAUUAAAACAUUCAAAAAUAUUACUUCUAGUAGACGAUGCCAAAAUUCACAACAUUAUUACAACAAGAAAUAAUGCUUUAGAAUUAUAAUCUAACUUAGAUAACUUUUGCCAAUUAGUGUAUCAAUAUUGGCAUGGAACUUAAUAAAUGCCCUAUAAUUACUUUUUCAUUAAAAAAAAAAAACAUUUCACUUUUAAUUAUAAUUUAAUUCAUUAUCCAAUACAAUGUGUAUCCUUGGUUAAUGAUUUAAGAUUUUUUUAUUUUUGAUAGUAAACUAAAAUUUAACCAUCAUAUAAAUAAAAUAAAAAAUAAAUAUUUUCAAAACUUAGCUUUCUUAAACGAUUUUAUUCAGAAUCUUAUAACAUACUUGCAUUAAAAAUAUAUAUUUUUUAUUAAUUUGAUCUCAAUUAGAAUAUGUCAUCCUGAUUUAGUCUCCCAACUUUAUAACAUCCAUUCAAAGUCUAGAAUCGGUCCAAAAUUGUGAUUUUCAUCAUUUGAAUGCAGAGUAGAAAGGCAACCAUAAUUAGUACCACAUACUAGUUAUAACAGAGUUCUAGGAUGUUUUAAUAAAACUUCCUUAAAAACCAGAAGAAAUAACCACAUUUUAUGGUUUUUUUAUUUAAGUUGCUUAAUAUUAUAGUCGAUUAGAAAUAAUUAAUUUUAAGGUUAACUGCAAUAACACUAGAGAUAAAAAUAUAUUUUUUUUUAUAAACAUCUCAAAUUAUUCAACUUGCUCUCCGGUUAAUAUUUUAAUGAAUAUUAGUAAUUCUGCUCAAUUAGAUAUUUUUUCUUGUAACAUUUACAAUAUCCAACAAAAUAUUACACUAGAUUUAAUUUUAUAAUAUUAUUCGUUUUAACAAUCUUACAUUAUUUGUAUUAAUUAUUCUUUAUUUUUAUACACAUACAUUACCUAUUAAAUGUUGUAUAUUCUUGCUCUUUAUACAAAUGUUUUACAUGUAUACCUAUAUUUAUUAUUUUUAUCUAUACACUUAUGUAUUUAUCUAUUCAACUGUUAUAUAUUAUGUUACACACAUAACCUUACUUCACAUUUUGUAAAUGGAAUUUUCUUUAGCCAUAAAUUAAUAAAUAAAUAAAUAAUAUUAUCUCAUUACCAUAGCAAAUAUAUGUAUAAAAAAAAAAAAUAGAAUUGAUUUUAAUUUGAGUUAUUACACAUUUUUUCACUUGUUAUGUUUUAAUUUCUAGUUAAAUUCUAAAUACAAUAUUGUAAAUGCUGAAGGAUAAGGAAAAUAAUACCAGUUCUUUUUCAAAUUCAAAAAUACUAAGUAUAACUAUAAGAAAUUAAGUAUAUCUAAUAAAAUUUGACUACAAGAAAAAUAUAAUGACAAAUUUAAAUUUAUUUUCAGAUUACUUGUCACAUCACUAUGCUGGUGGUACAAUGAACAAAUUGUACAUACUAUUAUCAAAAUUAAAAAUACCCAUGAAUAGUUGUGAGUAAUCGUGUUGUAACAUGUGAGAAAGUUUGAAAAGUACGGGGAAAUCACAAACCCAAUGUUCAUUUACUAUGCAUGAUUUGAUAAAUCAUAAUGAUGAUAAUAUGGGUGAACCAGGUUUUUUUUUUUUUUUGUUUUUCUAAUAAUAUUAUGUUUGACUCGGUAAAAAAAAAUGUUUCCCUCAAAGUUUUAAAUCUUUAAAAUGAUUUCUGUAAGUGCAACAUUUAUGAAAAAACUAGC